UACGUAGGCAGCGAGCGUUGUUCGGAGUUACUGGGCGUAAAGCGUGCGUAGGCGGUGCCAUAAGUCUGUUGUGAAAUCUCCCGGCUUAACUGGGAGGGUGCGGUGGAAACUGUGGUGCUGGAGUGUGGGAGAGGUAGGCGGAAUUCCUGGUGUAGCGGUGAAAUGCGUAGAGAUCAGGAGGAACACCUGCGGUGUAGACGGCUGGCUGGACCACGACUGACGCUGAGGCACGAAAGCGUGGGGAGCAAACAGG
rnacentral:rRNA from 1 species